rnacentral:rRNA from 1 species
GACGAACGCUGGCGGCGUGCUUAACACAUGCAAGUCGAACGGAAAGGCCCUGCUUUUGUGGGGUGCUCGAGUGGCGAACGGGUGAGUAGCACGUGAGUAACCUGCCCUUGACUUUGGGAUAACUUCAGGAAACUGGGGCUAAUACCGGAUAGGAGCUCCUGCUGCAUGGUGGGGGUUGGAAAGUUUCGGCGGUUGGGGAUGGACUCGCGGCUUAUCAGCUUGUUGGUGGGGUAGUGGCUUACCAAGGCCUUGACGGGUAGCCGGCCUGAGAGGGUGACCGGCCACAUUGGGACUGAGAUACGGCCCAGACUCCUACGGGAGGCAGCAGUGGGGAAUAUUGCACAAUGGGCGGAAGCCUGAUGCAGCAACGCCGCGUGCGGGAUGGCGGCCUUCGGGUUGUAAACCGCUUUCGCCUGUGACGAAGCGUGAGUGACGGUAAUGGGUAAAGAAGCACCGGCUAACUACGUG